rnacentral:rRNA from 1 species
GACGUAGGGCGCAAGCGUUGUCCGGAUUUAUUGGGCGUAAAGAGCUCGUAGGCGGCUUGUUGCGUCGACCGUGAAAACCCGUGGCUCAACUGCGGGCUUGCGGUCGAUACGGGCGGGCUAGAGUUCGGUAGGGGAGACUGGAAUUCCUGGUGUAGCGGUGAAAUGCGCAGAUAUCAGGAGGAACACCGGUGGCGAAGGCGGGUCUCUGGGCCGACACUGACACUGAGAGACGAAAGCUAGGGGAGCGAAUGGG